rnacentral:rRNA from 1 species
AGGAUCAACGCUGGCGGCGUGCCUAAUGCAUGCAAGUCGAACGGGGUUGCUUCGGUAGCUUACGUGGCGGACGGGUGAGGAACACGUGGGCAAUCUGUCCUGAGGUGGGGGGUAGCCCUCGGAAACGGGGGGGUAAUUCCGCAUGUGUGUGCCGAUUGGUGGGAUUGGUACAGAAAGGCAUUUCGGUGCCGCCUGAGGGGGAGCCUGCGUCCGAUUUAGCUAGUUGGUGGGGUAGAGGCUUACCAAGGCGAUGAUCGGUAGCUGGUCUGAGAGGACGGCCAGCCACACGGGGACUGAGACACGGCCCCGACUCCGUACGGGAGGCAGCAGCAAGGAAUUUCCGACGAAGUCGGGGGAAACCCUGAACGGAGCGAACGCCGCGUGCGGGAUGGACGUCGUUUUCGGAGUUACGGUAAACCGUCGUUUUACGUGGGGACGAGUAGGAACGGACGGUAACCCGAAGGAAACGUAACGGACCCGG